GACGAACGCUGGCGGCGUGCUUAACACAUGCAAGUCGAACGGAAAGGCCCUGCUUUUGUGGGGUGCUCGAGUGGCGAACGGGUGAGUAACACGUGAGUAACCUGCCCUUGACUUUGGGAUAACUUCAGGAAACUGGGGCUAAUACCGGAUAGGAGCUCCUGCUGCAUGGUGGGGGUUGGAAAGUUUCGGCGGUUGGGGAUGGACUCGCGGCUUAUCAGCUUGUUGGUGUGGUAGUGGCUUACCAAGGCUUUGACGGGUAGCCGGCCUGAGAGGGUGACCGGCCCCAUUGGGCCUGAGAUACGGCCCAGCCUCCUACGGGAGGCAGCAGAGGGGUAUAUUGUACUAUGGGCGGAAGCCUGAUGCAGCAACGCCGCGCGCGGUAUGACGGCCUUCGGGUUGUAAACCGCUUUCGCCUGUGCCGAAGCGUUAGUGACGGUAAUGGGUAAAGAAGCACCGGCUAACUACGUG
rnacentral:rRNA from 1 species